AGAUUGAACGCUGGCGGCAGGCCUAACACAUGCAAGUCGAGCGGUAACGCGGGGCAACCUGGCGACGAGCGGCGGACGGGUGAGUAACGCGUAGGAAUCUACCUGGUAGUGGGGGGUAGCCCGGGGAAACUCGGAUUAAUACCGCAUACGCCUUAAGGGGGAAAGCAGGGGAACUUCGGUCCUUGUGCUAUCAGAAGAGCCUGCGUUGGAUUAGCUAGUUGGUAGGGUAAAGCCUACCAAGGCGACGAUCCAUAGCUGGUCUGAGAGGAUGAUCAGCCACACUGGGACUGAGACACGGCCCAGACUCCUACGGGAGGCAGCAGUGGGGAAUAUUGGACAAUGGGGGCAACCCUGAUCCAGCCAUGCCGCGUGUGUGAAGAAGGCCUUCGGUUGUAAGCACUUAAGUGGGAGGAAGGGUGAAGCUAAUACCUUACAUCAUUGACGCUACCCACAGAAUAAGCACCGCUAACUCU
rnacentral:rRNA from 1 species